GGGCGAAUAGCUCAGUUGGUUAGAGCAUCUCGUUUACACCGAGAGGGUCGGGGGUUCGAGUCCCUCUUCGCCCA
rnacentral:tRNA from 2 species